rnacentral:rRNA from 1 species
UACGUAGGGUGCAAGCGUUGUCCGGAAUUAUUGGGCGUAAAGAGCUCGUAGGCGGUUCGUCGCGUCGGCUGUGAAAGCCUGAGGCUCAACCUCAGGCCUGCAGUCGAUACGGGCGGACUUGAGUACUGCAGGGGAGACUGGAAUUCCUGGUGUAGCGGUGAAAUGCGUAGAGAUCGGAAAGAACACCAACGGCGAAAGCACUCUGCUGGGCCGACACUGACACUGAGAGACGAAAGCUAGGGGAGCGAAUGGG